GAAACCCGCCACGGGGGGAAGCGUAUUGUAUCAGUGUGGUGCGGUGUCUGUUCAGCAAAAUUCGGUUUGUGUAUUCAGCGCUAGCUGUGUCGGGAUGGCUGUUGGAUUAUGGAUGUUGCAUAGGCCGAUGGUGAGGGCUCCCUUCGGGUGAGGAUUUCGACAAAAUGAUACGAUUCGACCCGUCUUGAAACACGGACCAAGGAGUUUAGCAUUAAUGCGAGUCGAAGAGUGAUAAACUCAGAGGCGCAGUGAAAGCGAACAUUUGGAAACCUUAACAGGUUGAGGAGGUGUUGCGUCGUUGACAAAACAUCCUACCUAGAGCAUUAAUGCUGAGACCCGAAAGAUGGUGAACUAUGCCGGAGUAGGGCAAAGCCAGAGGAAACUCUGGUGGAGGCUCGUAGCGAUGCUGACGUGCAAAUCGCUCGUCGAACUUGGGUAUAGGGGCGAAAGACUAAUCGAACCAUCUAGUAGCUGGUUCCCUCCGAAGUUUCUCUCAGGAUAGCGGGCCGACAGUGGGUUGUUUUGUGUGGUAAAGCGAAUGAUUAGCGUAUUUGGGGACGUAAUGUCUUCGGUCGAUUCUCAAACUUUAAAUACGCAAGAUAGAGAUGGUUGCUUAAGUGAACCUCUCUACUGAAAACGUCGGCCCUGUGGGCCACUUUUGGUAAGCAGAACUGGCGAUAUGGGAUGAACCAUAAGUUUGGUUAAGGCGUCAAAAUAUCCGCUUAUAGAUCCCACAAAAGGUGUUGGUUCAUCUAGNCAGCAGGACGGUGGCCAUGGAA
rnacentral:rRNA from 1 species